AGAAGUUUUUGGGCAGGUGUAGCCAGUAAAUGAAGAUUUGAAAUUCCUUUUCAUCAGCGGAUUUACUUUCACAGCUUUGUUCAGAGAAUUAGAAAGAGUUGUUGAAGUGUAGGUAACUGUGCAUAUGACUACACUUAUGUGCUGCUAUAUAAGGAAAAGUCAUUCUUUGGUUCCUCUGGAGAGGAAUGGAUUACACAAAACCAUUAGGAACAACUACUGUCUUUCUCAAGAUUAAUAUUAUGAAUUUGCCUUGAUUUAGGACUGAAAAAUAUGACAAUUUGAUGGCUGAUUUUUGACAUUCACAAAACUGAGAGCCAGGAAAUUGAUUGAAUGGCGUUGUAAACUAUGUAAGCGGAAGAACAUUUAAAUAUGGGUAGAAGUUUGAAAACAGAAAAAUAUGAUUGACUUUGAGUCUAGCAAGGAAAGUAGAAAGUUGUGUCAUUGUUUUGAAAGCUUUUCAAACAAGGUAGGCUAGUCUAAUUAUCAGAAAUGGUUUGUUUUGUAAGGUGGGGAAAAAACCCAUCAGUGGUACUGCAUACGCUACUUAGUCAUUCAGGCUUACAUCUGAGCUAAUCUUCAGUCAAAGAGAAGCUCAUGUCAU